CCUACGGGAGGCAGCAGUGAGGAAUAUUGGUCAAUGGACGCAAGUCUGAACCAGCCAUGUCGCGUGCAGGAAGACGGCUCUAUGAGUUGUAAACUGCUUUUGUACGAGGGUAAACGCAGAUACGCGUAUCUGUCUGAAAGUAUCGUACGAAUAAGGAUCGGCUAACUCCGUGCCAGCAGCCGCGGUAAUACGGAGGAUUCAAGCGUUAUCCGGAUUUAUUGGGUUUAAAGGGUGCGUAGGCGGUCGGUUAAGUUAGAGGUGAAAUCCCGGGGCUCAACUUCGGAAUUGCCUUCGAUACUGGUUGGCUAGAGAGGAGGUGCGGUAGGCGGAAUGUAUGGUGUAGCGGUGAAAUGCAUAGAGAUCAUACAGAACACCGAUUGCGAAGGCAGCUUACCAAGCUACUACUGACGUUGAGGCACGAAAGCGUGGGGAGCAAACAGGAUUAGAUACCCGGGUAGUC
rnacentral:rRNA from 1 species